ACUCCAGACCAGAAGUCCAAAUCUGAAAAAUGAAGCCGUCGCCUCCAUCUGCGCUUGAUAAUCUUGCUGCCGUAAUUACCCACCAGCGUCAGGUUCACAGGAAGCAUGCUAAAUUUCAGUGUCCUAAUGGGAACUGCAGAAAGUUAUUUACUUCGAAGCCUGAUGUGGUAUAUACCAUAUCAAGAAUAGGCAUCCUCCUAGCACGAGGAUGCCUCGCCAAACUGUUCACUUAAAUAUACAUGGAGAUUAUUUGUAGCUCAAUUCUUGAAAGUAGGCUUGCACGUCAUCAUCAUCAAGUAAAUGAUUCGAAUCUUGAAAA